CGCAGACGGAGCCCACAUUGAGGGGCGGGCACUCAGUCCAUAUUGAGGGGCGGGCAAUCAGUCCUCUUUGGGGGAGAAGCCCCUGACUGCAACCCGCAGACGGAGCCCACAUUGGGGGGCGGGCACUCGGUCCUCAUUGAGGGGCGGGCACUCAGUCCUCAUCGAGAAACCGAUUUAAACUACAGUUGGUCCAUUAUCCGCACAGACAUGUUCGUAAAUGAAGAAUACCUGAAUUAACGUCUUCAAGACGUUAUAGGCUCACAAGCAUUUAUCAGUCCAACUGCAAGAUCACCCUGAAUGCAAACCCUGUGCCUUGGUGUUUUCUUUUGUCUUCAACAGACAAGAAUUUGACAGCGGAUUUUCCAUCCUCCGGGGUGAUGUCGAGUGCUACAGCAGACCAGGUUGCAGCCACGCUCUCUCAUAUAGACUCUCCUGAGCCAAUUAAAAUGCCUGAACCUGAACCCUCUUCAUCCUCAACUGAACAAAUAACAGAGGAAAGCUUCAGAUCCAGUGGUCAGACCUCCAGUAUGACACAAGGAAACCCGCCAUGUGAGGUGCAUAGACUGUGUCAUGAAGUAGUUCGCAUUGACAGAUGUUGUUUAUACUGUUCACCCAUGCCCUCAUUCAGAUGUCAAGGCCUGAGAUGCAAAGAAUGCCGUCGUGUUUGGCACAAAUCCUGUCUCCUUAAGGCCUCUGAAGACUGGGACAUGUCUGAAAGUGAUGCGUCUUCUGGGGAGCACUACAAUCCCAACAAUUCCUCUGAGAGUUCUGAUGCGGAAUCAGAAUCCGAUGCUGAAUCUAAGACUCCGCCGGAUGUAGAUGAAGAUGCUCUUCGGGUUGCUGUGGCUGAAGAAGCGAGCACGUACAUCUGUGACUCCAUGACAGCUCCAAUGCAGGAUGCAAAGGAAACAAAUGCAGACUCGGAUGAACAUGGUGGAAGUAAUGGAAAACGGCAAUUGAAAAGCCAAAUCAAUUAUUGCUUCAUUUGCAAGAAACCCCAAACAAAAUUUGCUCGGCACUUAAAAGACAUGCACACCAGAAUGCAGAUGUCGCCAAGGCGUUAUCACUAGCUCCAAGUUCAUGUGAGAGAAAGACAAUUUUGGAAAAAUUGCGGAAUCUUGGUAAUUUCUCACAUAAUACAGAAGUCAAAGCCACUGGAUCCGGGGCUCUAAAAUUUAAAAGAGAAUCUAAAACAAGCAAUGUCUCUGAGGCAUAUGAUUUCUGCACCCACUGCAAAGGGAUGUUUUCCCGUAGAUAACUAUGGAAACACAUGAAGCGAUGCCUGCUCAAUUCGGCAAUGACUGAGGAAACAAGUGCAGGAAGGAAAAAAAAUACAAGUUUGUCUAAAUAUGGAGCAUCUGAAAGUGCAUCUCAAGAGCUCUUGGCAUUGAUCGAAAAAAUGCACAGAAAUGAAGUGUAUGACGCAAUCAUACAUGACUUCUUUGUUCUUCGGUUUGGGAAAACAAUGUACAACAAACAUGGACUUGACUAGUCUAAACACGACUACAUCCGCCAGAAACUAAGAGAAUUAGGUAGAUUGCUUGUUGCUUUGAGAAAUACGUGAACUAUAGACUCAGCAGUCAAACCAUCCAAUUUCAUGACUCUUAUUAAGGCUGUGAAGAAGGUCGCUGGCUUUGAUGAAGUAACUGGAAUCUACAAAUCACCCAGUUUGGCCCUUAAAAUUGGGCACUCCCUCCGGCGGGUUAGUGAACUGAUUAUGUGCCAGUUUCUUAUGGAUGAGGAUGACGAGGGGGUCGAGUCAAUCAGAAGGUUCCACAAAUUGUACGACACCCAGUGGUGAGAAUUUGUUUCCCACUCAGCCUUGACAAAUUUGAGCGAUGCUAAUUACAAUAAGACACAACCAUCCCUCUAGCAGAGGAUGUUCAGAGACUUCAUCUCCAUCUUCAUCAGGAGGCAGAUUUCGCUACAGAGAACCUGAACAGUACAUCAUCCACAGGUACUUCUGCAGCCCUGGCUAAAAUAACACUAUGCAAAGUCAUUCUAUUCAACAGGAGGAUGUCUGGUGAAGUCUCAAAGAUGACUUUAAAACAUUUUCUGGAUCGGGAUAACUCAAAAAUGAACGAUGACAUAACCACAGGACUGAACGAAAUCGAGAAGAGACUUUGUCAGCAGCUCAAUAGAGUCGAAUUGAAGGGGAAAAGGGGACGCAAAGUCGCGGUCCUCCUCACACCCGACAUGACUGCUUCAUUAACUCUCCUUGUCAGCAAAAGCAAAGAGUGUGGAGUCGAUGAUGGCAAUGGACACCUCUUUGCAAUUCCCCACUGUCAAGGUUUCUUCAGAGGACAAGACUGCCUCUGUAAAAAUGCUCGUGCUGCUUGUGGAGCUGUUAACCCGUGCAGUUUGACCUCAACUAAUCUGCCCAAGCAUAUCGCCACAAUUAGUCAAGUCAUGAAUCUAAAAGACAAUGAACUGGACCAGCUUGCAAACUUCUUAGGCCAUGACAUACGGGUGCAUCGGGAAUACUACCGCUUGCCCCAGUCGACGAUUCAGCUUGCAAAAAUAUCUAAGCUGCUGAUUGCCAUGCAGGGCGGGUGUGUGAAAGACAUCCAAGGGAAGUCACUCCACCAGAUAGGCGAUGAUUUUCAGGUGAUGUGGAAGAUUUCGCCCCUACUCCCAAUCAUCCAGGUCCUCCUCCUGAAAUUUGCAUCCAAGGUGACAUGGAAGAAUUUGCCUCUGUUGCUGAUGAAUCUGGUCACCCUCCUAAAACCGGCCUUCAAGAUGACAUGGUUGAUUUCGCUCCGGUGCCUGUUCAAUCUGGUAAUUCUGAAGAAACUGGAAUCCAAGGUAAACACAUUCCAUCCGAGGGGAGGCGCUGUGUGAAGAGACCGUGGUCGGAAACUGAAACAAAAGCUGUGAUGAAGCACAUGAAGCCAUACAUUCUGAACGGACUUCUGGUCACGAGCGCUCAAUGUGCAUUCUGCAAAGAACACCCUGCAUUAGAAGGACGCACAAUUCAAAAUAUUCAUGAUUUUGUAAGAAAUAAUGGCCUAAAGAAAAAAUAAGUAGUAUUCACACAUGGAAUAGUUGAUGUUUUGCAGUUGUUUCAAGAAUCAAGCUAAAUUCAGACAAGUUAAGUUACGUUUUUUGGUCGCUGGUGGUUCGCGGUUUUGAGUGACUUACGUUUGAGAUGUGUUCAGUCUGAUUUUAUGAAGCUUUUCUUUGAGAAUUGUCAACACUGCUUUAGUAUCCUCACAAUCCUGUUUGCAGUCUGUGUGUCAACUAGUGUCCUUGAAAUAAAGGCCUAAAGAAUAAAAAAAGAUAUUCACACGUGGAAUAGUUGAUGUUUUGUACAGUUUUUUUCAAGAAUUUCAAUGUCAAUCAAGCUAAAUUCUGACAUCAAGUUAAGUU
ensembl:lncRNA